UCCCCCACCCCCGCCUCCUUCCAGGGCACUGGCGUGGGUCCUUCGCCGUCCGGCGGCGACUGUAAAUAGAGCCUGGAUGUUGUUUACAUGAAGGAUCCGGCGGGAGGAGUCUGCGAGGAGGCGGCGGCGGCGGCGGCGGAGGAGGAGGAGGGAGGGCGGAGAGAGGAAGACCGGAGUCCCCGCGGCGGCGGCGGUGGUCCGGGGUGAGGGUGAGCCCCGCGCGGCGCGGGGACCGGGCGCUACCACGAGGCCGUGAAGCCGGACCCUGGGGAAUAGAAGCUGAGAAUGUUGGACUCUGCAGAAAAGAGGAGUGGGAUUGUGUUUCUGGAACAGCUCAAAGCUCUAAAAGUGGAGGUCAGUGCAAGUCUUUGGUAUUGCCCCCUUCAGCAGUCCAUUGAGGGGAUUUGAGAACUAAGAGCCGGCAUUUUUAAACGGCAAUGCUGGCAGUAAUGAGGAAAUCAUAGAUUCAUUGGAGGUGGCCGGGGUUUUUAGAGAUGGUUAGCUAGGGGUGGAUCGUUUAGAAGUCAGCUGGUGUAUUUUUGACUGGUUAUUCUGAAAGGGUGCAGUAACAGAAUAAAACUUACUUGUGGGCAGACUAUGAAAUCCAAAAUCUAGGGGGGUAAAAUUAACUCUAGAGCAAAAUCUAAAGUAAAACAACUGUGGAGUAGACAGUUGGACUUAAGUGUGUAUGCUGAGUACAUGUGUAAAAGGGGAAAGGCCCAUAGUGUCGAAUAU
rnacentral:lncRNA from 1 species